AUGAAUGCUUGGGUAAUCGCUGGAUGAUCAAUUCAUCUAGAGGAAAGUCCAUGCUCGCACAGGCUGAGAUGCUUGUAGUGUUCGUGCUUGACGAAACCAUAAGUCAAGGUAGUGUAACAGCUAACGGCAGAAAAAUGACCUACGUCUUUUGAAGAUAAGGUCAGAGUAUCUUGAAAGUGCCACAGUGACGAAGUUCGCUUGGAAACAAGCGAAGUGGAACGAGGUAAACCCCGCGAGCGAGCAACCCAAAAAUAGGUAGGGGCACUCUUCUGAGGGAACUCAACCAAAAUGAAGAGACAAGCUAUAGGCUUGUAGAUAGAUGAUUACCACCUUAUGUACGAGGUUGACCACCGAUAGGAGUACGAGGGUACAGAACAUGGCUUACAAAGCAUUCAUCAGG
rnacentral:RNase_P_RNA from 1 species